rnacentral:rRNA from 1 species
UACAGAGGUGGCAAGCGUUGUUCGGAAUUACUGGGCGUAAAGGGCGCGUAGGCGGCCCGGUAAGUCCGCUGUGAAAGUCCAGGGCUCAACCCUGGGAUGCCGGUGGAUACUGUCGGGCUCGAGUCCGGAAGAGGCGAGUGGAAUUCCUGGUGUAGCGGUGAAAUGCGCAGAUAUCAGGAAGAACACCCGUGGCUAAGGCGGCUCUCUAGUACGGUACUGACGCUGAGACGCGAAAGCGUGGGGAGCGAACAGG